GAUGAACGCUGGCGGCGUGCCUAACACAUGCAAGUCAAGGGAGAAGGUAACCUUCGGGGAACCGGAUACUGGCGCACGGGUGAGUAACACGUGGAUUAUCUACCCUUUACACAGACAUAACUCAGGGAAACUUUGAGCUAAUAUCUGAUGAGGCCUCCGGGUCAAAGCUUCGGCGGUAAAGGAUGAGUCUGCGUCUGAUUAGCUAGUUGGUAAGGUAAUGGCUUACCAAGGCGACGAUCAGUAACUGGUCUGAGAGGACGAUCAGUCACACUGGAACUGAGACACGGUCCAGACUCCUACGGGACGGCAGCAGUGAGGAAUUUUGGACAAUGGGGGAAACCCUGAUCCAGCGACGCCCGCGUGUGGGGAUGAAUGGGUUAUGCCCUGUAAACCACUGUCAGCAGAGACGAAAAGGUUCCUUUGGAACCC
rnacentral:rRNA from 1 species